rnacentral:rRNA from 1 species
UACACUCCUACGGGAGGCAGCAGUGGGGAAUAUUGGACAAUGGGCGCAAGCCUGAUCCAGCCAUGCCGCGUGAGUGAUGAAGGCCCUAGGGUUGUAAAGCUCUUUCACCGGUGAAGAUAAUGACGGUAACCGGAGAAGAAGCCCCGGCUAACUUCGUGCCAGCAGCCGCGGUAAUACGAAGGGGGCUAGCGUUGUUCGGAUUUACUGGGCGUAAAGCGCACGUAGGCGGACUAUUAAGUCAGGGGUGAAAUCCCGGGGCUCAACCCCGGAACUGCCUUUGAUACUGGUAGUCUUGAGUUCGAGAGAGGUGAGUGGAAUUCCGAGUGUAGAGGUGAAAUUCGUAGAUAUUCGGAGGAACACCACUGGCGAAGGCGGCUCACUGGCUCGAUACUGACGCUGAGGUGCGAAAGCGUGGGGAGCAAACAGGAUUAGAUACCCGAGUAGUCCCAUGA